AGAAGAUGGUAAGGGCAAACGGUGGAUGCCUUGGCACAAGAAGCCGAUGAAGGACGUGAUAAGCUGCGAUAAGCCACGGUAAGGAGCACAUAUCCUGUGACCCGUGGAUUUCCGAAUGGGUAAACCCACCAAGAGUCAUUUCUUGGUACUUCCUGCUGAAUAUAUAGGC
rnacentral:rRNA from 1 species